rnacentral:rRNA from 2 species
GGGCUCGCAGGCGGUUUCUUAAGUCUGAUGUGAAAGCCCCCGGCUCAACCGGGGAGGGUCAUUGGAAACUGGGAAACUUGAGUGCAGAAGAGGAGAGUGGAAUUCCACGUGUAGCGGUGAAAUGCGUAGAGAUGUGGAGGAACACCAGUGGCGAAGGCGACUCUCUGGUCUGUAACUGACGCUGAGGAGCGAAAGCGUGGGGAGCGAACAGGAUUAGAUACCCUGGUAGUCCACGCCGUAAACGAUGAGUGCUAAGUGUUAGGGGGUUUCCGCCCCUUAGUGCUGCAGCUAACGCAUUAAGCACUCCGCCUGGGGAGUACGGUCGCAAGACUGAAACUCAAAGGAAUUGACGGGGGCCCGCACAAGCGGUGGAGCAUGUGGUUUAAUUCGAAGCAACGCGAAGAACCUUACCAGGUCUUGACAUCCUCUGACAACCCUAGAGAUAGGGCUUUCCCUUCGGGGACAGAGUGACAGGUGGUGCAUGGUUGUCGUCAGCUCGUGUCGUGAGAUGUUGGGUUAAGUCCCGCAACGAGCGCAACCCUUGAUCUUAGUUGCCAGCAUUCAGUUGGGCACUCUAAGGUGACUGCCGGUGACAAACCGGAGGAAGGUGGGGAUGACGUCAAAUCAUCAUGCCCCUUAUGACCUGGGCUACACACGUGCUACAAUGGACAGAACAAAGGGGCUGCAAGACCGCAAGGUUUUAGCCAAUCCCAUAAAUCUGUUCUCAGUUCGGAUCGCAGUCUGCAACUCGACUGCGUGAAGCUGGAAUC